GAUGAAGAACGUAGCGAAAUGCGAUAAGUAAUGUGAAUUGCAGGAUUCAGUGAAUCAUCGAAUCUUUGAACGCACAUUGCGCCCCUUGGUAUUCCGAGGGGCAUGCCUGUUCGAGCGUCAUUAUAACCCCUCAAGCUCAGCUUGGUGUUGGGGCCUGCUGCACUGGCAGCCCUUAAAAUCAGUGGCGGCGCCAUCUGGCUCUAAGCGUAGUAAUUCUUCUCGCUAUGGAGUCCUGGUGGAUGCUUGCCAUCAACCCCCAAUUUUUCUAUGGUUGACCUCGGAUCAGGUAGGGAUACCCGCUGAACUUAAGCAUAUCAAUAAGCGGAGGA
rnacentral:misc_RNA from 1 species